AAAGGGGGGAACAAAAGGAUAGCCAGAGAUAGGAGAUAGAAAGUAUUGUUCCGUUAAAGUUCAAUACGUUUGUCAAGAUUUUUCAACCGGUAUUUACCAUAAGAAAGGAUAGACAAAAA
rnacentral:lncRNA from 1 species